CACAAACCAACAUUUUGUGCCAAUAUAAUUGUGCGAAAAACUACAUUAUUUAAUUGACCAAACUGCUGAAGCAUGUGCUCAUAUUGAAUGCAAUUUUACUGUUUCACUACAGUUUUUUCUGAUAUAAAAGGCAUGCUAGUGUCACAAGGUGACGAUCUUUAGGGGCGGAACCAAAAUUCGGGAAGUUUGGUUCCGCCCGGAAGUGUUUCCGCCCGGACCGGAAAAACAGAACACCGGAAUUUCCGGUAGCGCCGUAAGAAGGAAAAUCAGGGAAUUCGAUGCACCUGUGCCUAGUUAGGGACAGCGGUUGGUGAUUGGAGGAUACGCUGGACAAGGCAGUACUUAAGGCCAAGUUAUUUCACAGUCUGGGAGCUCUUUCUGGCUGGAAUUGUAUGAUUGUGAAGACAUCGCGAACCUUAAAGGUUGAGAAGUGAACGGAUUAUACGGCGAACUGAGACGACGUGAAAAAGGGGAUUGGAAGCGGCAUUGAUGUGAGUACUAAGAGCCAGUCGAAAGUGCCCUGUAUAUUGACCUGGCGUUGUGUAGAUCUCUCCAGGAGGAGGAGGGCGGCCCUACCCCUAAUAUAGCGUGGUGGGAGAGCCGAAGGAAUACUUAUUGAAGUAGUCACAACGACGACAUCACUAGCUAGGCCGCAUAUUCCAUCGCCAGAUCCGAACCAAGCGAAGUGAAGGAAGACGGGUGUCCUUUUCGUACACUGAGUGUGGUGGGUGAGUCUUCAUGCUGUGAAAACCUAUAAUUUUGACGUGGUGCUGUAUAUUGCUGUGGGCUGCUGUGUAUUGCCGUGUGUCCUGUCAGAUAAACCCCCGCCUUCACGCACUUCGUCGCGGGAGGACAAGGAGACUGCUGGUCCUAGCCUAGUUCAGUACAGUAUAUGUUGUGAGCGUGCUUCAGAUCUCCGGAGAUAGCACAGUACGCUGUGUCCAGCCCAGAGGUGAAAGCCAUCCAAAGCAGAGUAACUGUGCUUUGCGUCCAAGUUGAUACCUGUGGAGAGGAAAGGAAAGAGAGAUUGAUACCUGUGGAGAGAAAAGGAGAGAGAGUGGGUAACACGAGGAGAGACCGAGGAAACCUGUACUUACGCCGCUGCCUGUGGAGAAAGAGAAAGCGACCGUUGCCUGUGGAGGAAGAGAAAGAGAGUGAGCACCCCGAGAACGAACUGUGUGAACCAGUACUUACCGUGAGCUGUAUUCAGCGAAGAGGAGGAAGAAGGAGGGCGCUACGGAUACCUAAGACUCAGGCCGGGGCCCGAGUCCCACGCCCCGGAUCCCCGUGGCCCCCUUGCUCCCUGACCUCUUCCCGGCCAUAGCCCAUCUGGAGGGCCGAGUCAGAGUUUAGUUUUAAUUGCCCUUUCCCUAUUCCCCAAGCUAUUUUUAAAUAUUUAAAUAAAGAUUGUUUUAUCACUUACUUGUUCUCGUGU
ensembl:lncRNA